rnacentral:rRNA from 1 species
AUUGAACGCUGGCGGCAUGCCUUACACAUGCAAGUCGAACGGCAGCACGGGUGCUUGCACCUGGUGGCGAGUGGCGAACGGGUGAGUAAUAUAUCGGAACGUACCUUAUUGUGGGGGAUAACGCAGCGAAAGCUGUGCUAAUACCGCAUAAUCCCUAAGGGGGAAAGCGGGGGACCGUAAGGCCUCGCGCAAUUAGAGCGGCCGAUACCUGAUUAGCUAGUUGGUGAGGUAAAGGCUCACCAAGGCAACGAUCAGUAGCUGGUCUGAGAGGACGAUAAGCCACACUGGGACUGAGACACGGCCCAGACUCCUACGGGAGGCAGCAGUGGGGAAGUUUGGACAAUGGGGGGAACCCUGAUCCAGCAAUGCCGCGUGAGUGAAGAAGGCCUUCGGGUUGUAAAGCUCUUUUGUCAGGGAAGAAACAGCAGCUCUAACACAGUUUGCGAAUGACGGUACCUGAAGAAUAAGCACCGGCUAACUACGUGCCAGCCGCCGCCGUAA